UGCUCACUCUGCAAUCCACUGAUCAUGUCUGCUGUCUGCAGCCUGCAGACUUGCCAGCAGAGAGCGGAUUAUUAGGAGAAAUACAACAGGAGACAGCGCGGCUGCAGAGAGGAGAAGCCCAGCGCUGUGGUUUCAUCCUUCCCCCCACAGCUCCUGCUAGCAGCCACUUUGUAGACAAGUGGGAAAUCUAGUGGUGGCUACUGAGAAUUGCAUCCCUUCCACAAGCUGGGAACAAAGGCACACUGUUUGUAACUACCCUGUCUCAUUCCCGCCAUUGACCAAGACGCAAGCACGGGAGAAAGCUGCCUAACUCGCCCAGGAAACUUCAACUCGCGGCUGGACACAAACAAACGCUUUUCCCCUUAGGACUUCCACAUGCUGCGGACAGGGGAGCAAGCUACAAAACUUACCCAGACACAUGGAACUCACAGCUGCACAUUUUUAGUCACUCUCCCCCCUUGUUUUUUUUCACAGGCUGGAAAGGGGUGAAUUUUGAUUUUGUAAGUUUAUUUUUUUUUAAACUAUUUCCAGAUUGACAUUAAGGGUUUGCUUUUUAUAGUUAAAUAUAUAUUGAAUGAUAUUGAUUUCUAAUAAAGAUUAUUUAAUAUUGAUAAUAUUUAAAGAUUGAUGUGUAUACCAUUGUAUAUAUAUUUCUAAUAAUAAAAAUGAGUAAAAUUA